AGAGCGAACGCUGGCGGCGUGCUUAACACAUGCAAGUCGAGCGGAAAGGCCCUUCGGGGUACUCGAGCGGCGAACGGGUGAGUAACACGUGAGCAACCUGCCCUUAGCUCCGGGAUAGCUCCGGGAAACCGGAUUAAUACCGGAUACAACCACGGCCGACAUCUGCUGUGGUGGAAAGGAUUCCGGCUAAGGAUGGGCUCGCGGCCUAUCAGCUAGUUGGUGGAGUAACGGCCCACCAAGGCGACGACGGGUA
rnacentral:rRNA from 1 species